AACUUUUGACAAUGGUUCUCUUGGCUCUCGCAUCGAUGAAGAACGCAGCGAAAUGCGAUAAGUAAUGUGAAUUGCCGAAUUCAGUGAAUCAUCGAAUCUUUGAACUCACCUUGCGCUCCUUGGUAUUCCGAGGAGCAUGCCUGUUUUAGUGUCAUUAAUAUAUAUAUCAAACUUCUCUUGUUGAGUGGUUUGGAUGUGGGGGUUUUGCUGGCCUCUUGAAGGGUUCAGCUCCCCUGAAAUGCAUUAGCAGAACAACCCUGUUCAUUGGUGUGAUAACUAUCUACGCUAUUGAAUGUGAGGGGCAGUUCAGCUUUCUAACAGUCCUUGGACAAUUCAUCAUUAAUGUGACCUCAAAUCAGGUAGGACUACCCGCUGAACUUAAGCAUAUCAAUAAGCGGAGGCU
rnacentral:misc_RNA from 1 species